rnacentral:rRNA from 1 species
AGUGAACGCUGGCGGUAGGCCUAACACAUGCAAGUCGAACGGCAGCACAGUAAGGGCUUGCUCUUACGGGUGGCGAGUGGCGGACGGGUGAGGAAUACAUCGGAAUCUACUUUUUCGUGGGGGAUAACGUAGGGAAACUUACGCUAAUACCGCAUACGACCUACGGGUGAAAGCAGGGGAUCUUCGGACCUUGCGCGAUUGAAUGAGCCGAUGUCGGAUUAGCUAGUUGGCGGGGUAAAGGCCCACCAAGGCGACGAUCCGUAGCUGGUCUGAGAGGAUGAUCAGCCACACUGGAACUGAGACACGGUCCAGACUCCUACGGGAGGCAGCAGUGGGGAAUAUUGGACAAUGGGCGCAAGCCUGAUCCAGCCAUACCGCGUGGGUGAAGAAGGCCUUCGGGUUGUAAAGCCCUUUUGUUGGGAAAGAAAAGCAGCAGGUUAAUACCCCGCUGUUCUGACGGUGCCCAAAGAAUAAGCACCGGCUAACUUCGUG